rnacentral:misc_RNA from 1 species
GAGGUCGGAGUUCAGUCUUCCCAGGCCCACCACUUUCAUCGAGUGAGCAUUCGUCUUCUGGUUACGGGGCCAUAGCUCAGCUGGGAGAGCGCGUGCUUUGCAAGCAUGAGGUCGUCGGUUCGAUCCCGUCUGGCUCCACCAGAUGGUUUGAUCACCGAGAUCUUGACCGUCGUCCGCGAAACAUCACUUCGCAUCCUGCUAGUCUGGAUAGACAGCAGUUUGCGUGUUUUCUGACAUCGUAAAGAGGAGAUCGAUCCGAGUUGGGUCGUGCAGCAUAUCGUUGCGCGAGCCUUCAUUAUCUCCGGAUCAUUUCGGCGCUCGCUUCCAGCCGUGAGGUUGGAUGCGGGUUGUAAAUGAUCCUUUUAGCGAAGCUUGACCGCCUCGCUAUCGGAACGAUCUUACGAAGCAAGCUGGUCUUUCUAGUCAAUGUCCGGCUGCGGAUAGCGUUCAUCGAGGGCGCGUGCCGCAAGGCAAUUCUGCAGACAACAUUCUGCCGAGUGUGUGGACAUUGAUAAUGAGAGCAAUCAAGUGCCUUAAGGGUGUUCGGUGGAUGCCUUGGCGCUGAGAGGCGAUGAAGGACGUGCUACGCUGCGAUAAGCCGUGGGGAGCUGCGAAGAAGCUUUGAUCCGCGGAUUUCCGUG